UGGGGAAUAUUGCGCAAUGGGCGAAAGCCUGACGCAGCAACGCCGUGUGAGGGAUGAAGGCUUUCGGGUCGUAAACCUCUGUCGGAAGGGAAGAACGGGUGCGGGUCUAAUAGGCCUUCAUUUUGACGGUACCUUUAGAGGAAGCACCGGCUAACUCCGUGCCAGCAGCCGCGGUAAUACGGAGGGUGCAAGCGUUAUUCGGAAUUACUGGGCGUAAAGCGCACGUAGGCCGCUUUGUAAGGCAGGGGUGAAAUCCCACGGCUCAACCGUGGAACGGCCCUUGAAACUGCAGAGCUUGAAGCCUGGAGAGGGUGGCGGAAUUCCUGGUGUAGGGGUGAAAUCCGUAGAUAUCAGGAGGAACACCGGUGGCGAAGGCGGCCACCUGGACAGGCAUUGACGCUGAGGUGCGAAAGUGUGGGGAGCAAACA
rnacentral:rRNA from 1 species